rnacentral:rRNA from 1 species
CAUUCCCUACGGGACGCAGCAGUGGGGAAUAUUGCACAAUGGGGGGAACCCUGAUGCAGCGACGCCGCGUGAGUGAAGAAGUAUUUCGGUACGUAAAGCUCUAUCAGCAGGGAAGAAAAUGACGGUACCUGACUAAGAAGCCCCGGCUAACUACGUGCCAGCAGCCGCGGUAAUACGUAGGGGGCAAGCGUUAUCCGGAUUUACUGGGUGUAAAGGGAGCGUAGACGGCAGUGCAAGUCCGGAGUGAAAGCCCGGGGCUCAACCCUGGGACUGCUCUGGAAACUGCAAAGCUGGAGUGCGGGAGG